GACGAACGCUGGCGGCGUGCUUAACACAUGCAAGUCGAGCGGUAAGGCCCUUUCGGGGGUACACGAGCGGCGAACGGGUGAGUAACACGUGGGUGACCUGCCCUCAGCUCUGGGAUAAGCCUGGGAAACCGGGUCUAAUACUGGAUAUGACUCCAUGACGCAUGUUGGUGGGGUGGAAAGCCUUGUGCGGCUGAGGAUGGGCCCGCGGCCUAUCAGCUUGUUGGUGGGGUGAGGCCUACCAAGGCGACGACGGGUAGCCGGCCUGAGAGGGCGACCGGCCACACUGGGACUGAGACACGGGCCCAGACUCCUACGGGAGGGCAGCAGUGGGGAAUCUUGCGCAAUGGGCGAAAGCCUGACGCAGCGACGCCGCGUGAGGGAUGACGGCCUGGUU
rnacentral:rRNA from 1 species